GGGUCAGUAGGUUGGUCGUGCCACCGGUACGUACUGGUCUCACUGAUUCCUCCUUCCUGAAGAACCGUAAUGUCAUUAAUUUGGUGUUGCGAGGAAACAGGACUGUUACUUUGAAAAAAUUAGAGUGUUUAAAGCAAGCUAACGCUUGAAUACAUUAGCAUGGAAUAAUGAAAUAGGACGAUCGAUCCUAUUUUGUUGGUUUCUAGGAUUGACGUA
rnacentral:rRNA from 1 species